GCCAUAUGCUUCAUGGAAAUUGAAAAUAACUCUUUUAAGCCAGUGCUUUUCCAGAUCUUGCUUGAAUUCAAUUUUCUGAAGGAAGUCAUUAGUAGAGCUUCGCAUUGCAAGACUGCAGUUGAUGAACAAAUGCGCAGACUGAGCAUAGGCGGGCAGCGUAGGUUAACAGGACAACAUAGAGACCAAUCCUACUUCUACCCUCAUCAAGUCUCUCAAGAGGUUCUGCUUCAGACAGCGAUGGGGAACUUUUGCACCUCCUGAUAUUGUUGAACUGCAACUCACUUAUUUCCUUUCUUUUGGCUGUGAUUGUUAGAACUGAUGAGGGUUACAGUCCAAAACUGUGUUGUGGUGAGUUAUGUUUAUAUAUCCCAGCACAGGGAUUAUAUUUAUCCUGUUACACUAUCUGGAUCAAUGUUUCUACUCUUUCCACAAAAAGCUUCGUUUGGUACAGUGAGUCAGUAGUUACAGCUGACAACAGCCUGAAGUUUUUGUGUAGGAAUACAGAUUUGAGUAGGUUUAGACAAGACAAUAAAGUUAUGCAAAUAUCACAAUGCCUUUACUUGUGUGCGCAGUUGCACACAUCUGUGCUGAUUCCAUCCUAGCCCACCAGGAGGAGGCAAAGAACCAUUCCUCCAGAGGACUUCUGAAAAGUAUAGGUUAUCAAAAGAUAAACUGGUGGAAAGUGAAGCAUGAAAGUCCCUUCCUACUCUAAUGCAAGCAUAAGAAAGGUGUGAUCCCUGAAGCUUUCUCUUCUCCAGAAUCCUAAACUUGUAAAGAUGUGUGUGUAUUUGAUUUGUUUCCACAUAGUGAAAAUAAAAGUUUUACUCUCUCCUGCCCCUACAGUCACCCAAGACAUCUCAAAAGGAAGCUUAGUCUGUCAAAAAUGGAUCCAGAAAUCAUGUUUUUUUCAGCAUGUUAAUGUAGUUGUUGGAGGGAGGGGUGUGUGAUAUACAUGUGAAUAAAUUGCCUUCAACUUGGCUCAGGCCUUGUUUACAUCAGCCACUUAAUCUUGGCCUAGGCUGGUGCAUUGCGCUCGGGCCCUGAAUCGAAGAUGAUGCCACACACACUUAGCUGAACCCUCUGUAGUGCUGUCCAGAUGAUCAGGAGGUAGGGAAUGACUGCAUCAGCCAUCAUCUUGUAUUUUGCAUUGCUGCCACUGCUUCCUGCCAGCCAUAGAGCUCCCUGAGAGCAUCUAGUCUUCAUGGUUGCAUGUGCUCAGGUCAUAACGGAGCAUCUGUGUGAUCACUAAGGAGGGUAUAGAGUUGCAUUCAGCAGAUGUGACUGCAAUGGCCAGGAGCUCACAGGGAGCUCCAUGACCGACAGGGAGCAGUGGCAGUGACAUAGGUGCGCUGAUGAGUACAGAGAAAAGGUGAUGGCAAUUCAUCCAUGUGGACCAUGGAGUCGGGCACAAUCCAGCUGUCCAGAUGGUUACAAAGCCUGAAGAUAAUCCAGAGUUUUCCCCAGCUUUGCAUAAAAACAGAGCAAAUUUGGGUUAAAGGCAACAAACCCAGAAUACUUUCUAGAAAUUCUCAUGUGUUGUGAAGACUGUCAAUUCCGAAUUUGGAGUGAGUAUGGUUUUUUCCUCCUAUGUAGACAUAGCCUCAGUUCCCCAUUCCUAUUGUAAUGGAAAGUGAUUCAUCAUUCUAUUUAUUCUUUUUUUUCGUGUCAGGAGCAACCUAAGUUGCUACUGGUGUGAGAGAAUUGGCCGUCUGCAAGGACGUUGCCCAGGGGACGCCUAGAUGUUUUUGAUGUUUUUACCAUCCUUGUGGGAGGCUUUUCUCAUGUCCCCGCAUGGAGCUGGAGCUGAUAGAGGGAGGUGGGAUUCGAACCUGGUAGCCUUCAGGUCAGCAACCCAACCUUCAAGUCACAAGGGUUUAACCCACUACUCCACCGGGGGCUCUAUUUAUUCUGAGAGGGUGCAUUGAAAGAAUUUAUCUGAAAAUCAGAUGCAGUCCAUGUGCACUGUGCAUGUAUUUCUUUUAGGCUUAUGUUGGUCAUCUGCCUAUACAAACAGCAGGAAAUAGGAAUAGUUGUAAAACCGCACUUGCCUUUUGUGUCAUUUGUUUUAGGAUGCUACCAUAGGUAUAUCCUUGAAAGAAGCAUAUUGUUGUACUCAUCCUACAUCUUUGAGUGGUGGUAUGUUCUAAGGCCCCAUCUACACUGGCAGUGUAGAUUCAUAUAAUGCAGUUCAAUGCAGUUAAACUGCAUUCUGAAACUCAUUAUAUGUCAGUGUAAAUUUCAGCUGUUCAAAAACUCCAAUUAGUUCAAAACAUGUAUCAAUUAAAAUAAAUAAAUAAAAAGAGACAAAAACAAACAAACAUGGCAGCCAGAUUAGUUACAGGGACAUCUAGAAGUGAGCAUAUUAUACCCAUAUUAAAGUAACUCCACUGUUUACCAAAAUUUUUCUGGACAAACUAUAAAAUAUUGGUAUUGACCUUUAAAGUCCUAUAUGGUUUGGGUCCAGGUUACCUAUAGGAUUGCCUUCUCUCAUACAGUUUGCUCUUUAGGACACAGGUCCUUGGGUAGAUGCUUACUCCAAUCAGUCAGAACCUGACUGGUGGCCAUCACCCAGAGGACCUUUUCAUCGACUGCCCCACAACCGUGGAAUGACCUGCCAGAAGAGCUCCAACAGUUAAACAAGAAUUUAAAACACAGUUGGAGGCCCGUCUUUUUUGGCAGGCCUACCAGUCAACUUUCAGUCAUGAGUUUUGAUUUACAUUCUAUUGCUUCUAUAUGUCGGUUCAAUAUCAGUAUUAGGUGCAAGUUUUAAAAAAUGUUUUUGUGUUUUUAUCUAUGUCAUUUAUUGUAUAUAUUUUAUGUUCAUAUGUUUUUGACUUUGUUGUACCCCACCUUGAGCCAUCAGGAGAGGUAGGUAAUAAAUAAAAUCUAUUAGUACUAUUACUACUAUUACUACCACCACUACUACUACUAGUAGCAUUAGAUGGGGCCUAAGAGUGCGACACACUUAAUCAACCAUCUUUGUUUCACUGGAUGCUUAUGGCAUUUUGCAAUGUCCGUAUUUACUUAGAAAUAUACUGGUUAACACAGGUAUGCUUUUGGCGAUCUCCCUGUCUCCUUUGGUCAUCUACCCUAACAAAGAAUAUACCUGUUGAUGCCGUUCUGUAUUUUCUAGCCCCCUUCUUUCCAGCCCAAGUCCCAAAAAUCUCAACAACUACAUGAAACACGCACACAUACUGCAUCCAACUAUUGUUAUGUAUAACUAUUUUACAUGUUCCUGUUAUAUGUAUUGGCAUAUGCACAUAUUUAUACCUUUUAACUCAAUUUGACACAAUGCAUUUUUUGUGUUACUGAUGGGCACAACCCACAUAGGUAACAAGUUCCAAUAAAAGUUUUACACAUAGAGAUGACAGUUUUCUCACGGCAGUGCAGCCAAACAUGCCAAAUCCAUUCAGGAAGCUACUUCUUCCAAGAAGAUUCCAUUGCAAUGCAAUACUUCACAAAAUAUUUUAAUAAUGAUUAUAUGCACCCAGCUAGCACAGCUUGAUUCAGUAGUCAAAAUACAGCUCACCCUCCAUAUCCAUGAAUUCAGCCAUUCAAGGCUUGAAAACAUUUGUCUCCCUCCAAAAAAAAUUACCCUUGAUUUUUCCAUGUCAUGUAAGGGAUAGCAUUUUGCUAUGCUACUGCAUAUGAUGGGACUUGACCAUCCACAUUUUUAGUAUCUAUGGGGGCCCUGGAACCAAACCCAGUGAAUACCAAGAGUCUGUUGUAAUUGUUGAAGGCUUUCAUGGCUAGAAUCAUUGGGUUGCUGUGAGUUUUUUGGGUUGUAUGGCCAUGUUCCAUGUUCUGUUGUGAUAAUUUUUGUUCUGUUCUAAUAGGUGUUGAAAUGCAAAUUAGCUUGUGCUGUCACAAAUUGGUAUAGUACUAUAUAUAAUUAAAUAUUAGAAUGGCUGUACACAUGAAUAUGUGGAAAAUAAAAACAAUCUAUGCCCAAUGCUGUAAAUGUUGCAAGUAUAGGAACAGAUAACAUUCAAUUGAAUGAAUGGUAAGAGCCACCAGGUGGCAUCCAGCUUCUAUUAGAUUGGUAACAGCCUGGAUGAUCAUUGUAUAUCUCAAAGUGAAGAUUCAAGCCAUUCCUUUUAGUAGUGUCUUUCUGAAUUACGCUUGAUUUCUGAUCAUUUAAUAAAUAAAUAAAACAGGAACUUUAGUACUCUGGCCCACAUAUUCCAGAGAUCCCUCUCAGCUAAAGCUACUGCAGUGUUUCCCUUCUAAUGUUACCAUAUUUUAUUGGAUAUUUUUCUUCACCAGAACCAGUAACCAACCAACCUGUUUCUAUUUGAUGUUUUCCCACUCUUGGUCUUUAUACCUUACCAUCUUUUGGAAGGUUUGAAUAUGAAUCUUUUUUCCUCAGUUUUUAGAAUUCAGUGCCAUAGUGUUAUAUGCAUUGACAUCCCAGUCCUUGUUUACUGACUUCAGUAAUAUUUUCCUAAGCAAUUGAAUGCUUAGACUACAGCGAGUUAACAGUCUGAUUUAAGUGCUGUCACUGGUAUUGUUUGCCACCAUGAAGUCUGUAGAACCUAAAGGAGCUCAGUUUGUAUUUUGGUGUAUAUUUUUAUCAUUUGUAUUUGGUCAGCUAUAUAAAUCAAAGCAGUUUUCACAGUCUGAUUGAAAUUUAUUCAAAGAAAUUUAGACAACGAUGAAAAGGACCUUCUCUUGGGAUAGAGCACCUGCUUUGUACUGAGAAACAACUACCAAAUUUAGUCCACUGAACUUCCUAAAAACUAUUUGCAGGUAAUACCUCAUCACCCU
rnacentral:lncRNA from 11 species